rnacentral:rRNA from 1 species
UACAGAGGGGGCAAGCGUUGUUCGGAAUUACUGGGCGUAAAGGGCGCGUAGGCGGCCUGCUAAGUCGGACGUGAAAUCCCCGGGCUCAACCCGGGGACUGCGUCCGAUACUGGAAGGCUUGAAUCCGGGAGAGGGAUGCGGAAUUCCAGGUGUAGCGGUGAAAUGCGUAGAUAUCUGGAGGAACACCGGUGGCGAAGGCGGCAUCCUGGACCGGCAUUGACGCUGGGGCGCGAAAGCCAGGGGAGCAAACGGG